UUAUAUGAGAGUUUGAUCCUGGCUCAGGAUGAACGCCGGCGGUGUGCCUAAUACAUGCAAGUCGUACGCACUGGCCCAACUGAUUGAUGGUGCUUGCACCUGAUUGACGAUGGAUCACCAGUGAGUGGCGGACGGGUGAGUAACACGUAGGUAACCUGCCCCGGAGCGGGGGAUAACAUUUGGAAACAGAUGCUAAUACCGCAUAACAACAAAAGCCNNNNNNNNNNNNNNNNNNNNNNNNNNNNNNNNNNNNNNNNNNNNNNNNNNGGCUUACCAAGGCGAUGAUGCAUAGCCGAGUUGAGAGACUGAUCGGCCACAAUGGAACUGAGACACGGUCCAUACUCCUACGGGAGGCAGCAGUAGGGAAUCUUCCACAAUGGGCGCAAGCCUGAUGGAGCAACACCGCGUGAGUGAAGAAGGGUUUCGGCUCGUAAAACUCUGUUGUUGGAGAAGAACGUGCGUGAGAGUAACUGUUCACGCAGUGACGGUAUCCAACCAGAAAGUCACGGCUAACUACGUGCCAGCAGCCGCGGUAAUACGUAGGUGGCAAGCGUUAUCCGGAUUUAUUGGGCGUAAAGCGAGCGCAGGCGGUUGCUUAGGUCUGAUGUGAAAGCCUUCGGCUUAACCGAAGAAGUGCAUCGGAAACCGGGCGACUUGAGUGCAGAAGAGGACAGUGGAACUCCAUGUGUAGCGGUGGAAUGCGUAGAUAUAUGGAAGAACACCAGUGGCGAAGGCGGCUGUCUGGUCUGCAACUGACGCUGAGGCUCGAAAGCAUGGGUAGCGAACAGGAUUAGAUACCCUGGUAGUCCAUGCCGUAAACGAUGAGUGCUAGGUGUUGGAGGGUUUCCGCCCUUCAGUGCCGGAGCUAACGCAUUAAGCACUCCGCCUGGGGAGUACGACCGCAAGGUUGAAACUCAAAGGAAUUGACGGGGGCCCGCACAAGCGGUGGAGCAUGUGGUUUAAUUCGAAGCUACGCGAAGAACCUUACCAGGUCUUGACAUCUUGCGCUAACCUUAGAGAUAAGGCGUUCCCUUCGGGGACGCAAUGACAGGUGGUGCAUGGUCGUCGUCAGCUCGUGUCGUGAGAUGUUGGGUUAAGUCCCGCAACGAGCGCAACCCUUGUUACUAGUUGCCAGCAUUAAGUUGGGCACUCUAGUGAGACUGCCGGUGACAAACCGGAGGAAGGUGGGGACGACGUCAGAUCAUCAUGCCCCUUAUGACCUGGGCUACACACGUGCUACAAUGGACGGUACAACGAGUUGCGAACUCGCGAGAGUAAGCUAAUCUCUUAAAGCCGUUCUCAGUUCGGACUGUAGGCUGCAACUCGCCUACACGAAGUCGGAAUCGCUAGUAAUCGCGGAUCAGCAUGCCGCGGUGAAUACGUUCCCGGGCCUUGUACACACCGCCCGUCACACCAUGGGAGUUUGUAACGCCCAAAGUCGGUGGCCUAACCUUUAUGGAGGGAGCCGCCUAAGGCGGGACAGAUGACUGGGGUGAAGUCGUAACAAGGUAGCCGUAGGAGAACCUGCGGCUGGAUCACCUCCUUUCUAAGGAA
rnacentral:rRNA from 1 species